UUCCUGAUGGUACAGUGGUAAGACUCUGCUCUUCCACUGCAGGGGCCCCAGGUUCAAGUCCUGAUUGAGGAG
rnacentral:tRNA from 1 species